AAACGAUAGGAGCAUCUGAAAGCUGCUUACGAAUAAGCCUAGGAAGAAGAAAUAAGGAAUAAUCAUGUAUUAAUAUUAGAUCACCAGGACGAUAGUUAGAUACAAUAUUGUCAGCAAAAUAUUGAGACCAUCGAGUAAAGUUUUUCCAUAAAUUAUGCUGCUGGUAUCCAUCUAAGGUUGGAAUUCUAUAAUGUAGCACAUCCCAUAAGACGCUAUCAGCAUACAUUGGUCCAUCCUUCAAUGCUUCUGAUUUAAUACUUUGAUAAGCCGUGGAAAGUUUGUUAGACACGGAUGGAGUAAUAGUCGCGGACGAGGACUUAGCUUGUGGUACACGUUGAACCUUGCCCCAUACAGGGACAAUAUCAGCUUCUAUGUUCUUUUUCCUGUAAUACUCAGUAGCCUUCUUUAGAAAAAUUUCUUGAUCCUCUGGGCUUAUGACAAUCGACGAAGAACGAUGAACA